rnacentral:lncRNA from 1 species
GGCACUGGCUCCGCGGCGAAAGCCACGGUGGCCGCGCCCCCAGGGGGCCCGGCGCCACCCGCGAAACUGCUCAGGUCCUCCAGCGCCUUGACGAAGCCUUCGGCGAACUCCUGCUCCUCGCUAGCUGCCACCUUCGGGUAGAGGAACUGCGUACUGGUCGGGGUAGUGGUCACCAGCCCGUUGGACUGGAUGAUCAGCCUCUCCAGCUCCGGCGACGCGAGUUUGAGCAGCCCAAGAUCCGGCGAAGCCAGCAGCCCGUCGGGGGCGCCGUCGGGGCGCAGCGCAGAAGGUGCAGUGGCCGACCCUGGUUUCAAUCCCGCCGCUCCCUGCUCCGCCAGGCUGAGCGUCAGCGCGUCUUUCUUCAGCAUGCUGCUCGUCGGGGGCGCCCCGGGGAAAGCGCGGCCCGGG